CCCCCAGCUAUUUUUCUCCGUGGCGGCGGCGACGAGCGGAAGUUCUUGGGAGCGCCAGUUCCGUCUGGGUGUUCGAGUGGACAAAAUGGCGAAGAUCGCCAAGACUCACGAAGAUAUUGAAGCACAGAUUCGAGAAAUUCAAGGCAAGAAGGCAGCUCUUGAUGAAGCUCAAGGAGUGGGCCUCGAUUCUACAGGUUAUUAUGACCAGGAAAUUUAUGGUGGAAGUGACAGCAGAUUUGCUGGAUACGUGACAUCAAUUGCUGCAACUGAACUUGAAGAUGAUGACGAUGACUAUUCAUCAUCUACGAGUUUGCUUGGUCAGAAGAAGCCAGGAUAUCAUGCCCCUGUGGCAUUGCUUAAUGAUAUACCACAGUCAACAGAACAGUAUGAUCCAUUUGCUGAGCACAGACCUCCAAAGAUUGCAGACCGGGAAGAUGAAUACAAAAAGCAUAGGCGGACCAUGAUAAUUUCCCCAGAGCGUCUUGAUCCUUUUGCAGAUGGAGGGAAGACCCCUGAUCCUAAAAUGAAUGCUAGGACUUACAUGGAUGUAAUGCGAGAACAACACUUGACUAAAGAAGAACGAGAAAUUAGGCAACAGCUAGCAGAAAAAGCUAAAGCUGGAGAACUAAAAGUCGUCAAUGGAGCAGCAGCGUCCCAGCCUCCAUCAAAACGAAAACGGCGUUGGGAUCAAACAGCUGAUCAGACUCCUGGUGCCACUCCCAAAAAACUAUCAAGUUGGGAUCAGGCAGAGACCCCUGGGCAUACUCCUUCCUUAAGAUGGGAUGAGACACCAGGUCGUGCAAAGGGAAGCGAGACUCCUGGAGCAACCCCAGGCUCAAAAAUAUGGGAUCCUACACCUAGCCACACACCAGCGGGAGCUGCUACUCCUGGACGAGGUGAUACACCAGGCCAUGCGACACCAGGCCAUGGAGGCGCAACUUCCAGUGCUCGUAAAAACAGAUGGGAUGAAACCCCCAAAACAGAGAGAGAUACUCCUGGGCAUGGAAGUGGAUGGGCUGAGACUCCUCGAACAGAUCGAGGUGGAGAUUCUAUUGGUGAAACACCGACUCCUGGAGCCAGUAAAAGAAAAUCACGGUGGGAUGAAACACCAGCUAGUCAGAUGGGUGGAAGCACUCCAGUUCUGACCCCUGGAAAGACACCAAUUGGCACACCAGCCAUGAACAUGGCUACCCCUACUCCAGGUCACAUAAUGAGUAUGACUCCUGAACAGCUUCAGGCUUGGCGGUGGGAAAGAGAAAUUGAUGAGAGAAAUCGCCCACUUUCUGAUGAGGAAUUAGAUGCUAUGUUCCCAGAAGGAUAUAAGGUACUUCCUCCUCCAGCUGGUUAUGUUCCUAUUCGAACUCCAGCUCGAAAGCUGACAGCUACUCCAACACCUUUGGGUGGUAUGACUGGUUUCCACAUGCAAACUGAAGAUCGAACUAUGAAAAGUGUUAAUGACCAGCCAUCUGGAAAUCUUCCAUUUUUAAAACCUGAUGAUAUUCAAUACUUUGAUAAACUAUUGGUUGAUGUUGAUGAAUCAACACUUAGUCCAGAAGAGCAAAAAGAGAGAAAAAUAAUGAAGUUGCUUUUAAAAAUUAAGAAUGGAACACCACCAAUGAGAAAGGCUGCAUUGCGUCAGAUUACUGAUAAAGCUCGUGAAUUUGGAGCUGGUCCUUUGUUUAAUCAGAUUCUUCCUCUGCUGAUGUCUCCUACACUUGAGGAUCAAGAGCGUCAUUUACUUGUGAAAGUUAUUGAUAGGAUACUGUACAAACUUGAUGACUUAGUUCGUCCAUAUGUGCAUAAGAUCCUCGUGGUCAUUGAACCGCUAUUGAUUGAUGAAGAUUACUAUGCUAGAGUGGAAGGCCGAGAGAUCAUUUCUAAUUUGGCAAAGGCUGCUGGUCUGGCUACUAUGAUCUCUACCAUGAGACCUGAUAUAGAUAACAUGGAUGAGUAUGUCCGUAACACAACAGCUAGAGCUUUUGCUGUUGUAGCCUCUGCCCUGGGCAUUCCUUCUUUAUUGCCCUUCUUAAAAGCUGUGUGCAAAAGCAAGAAGUCCUGGCAAGCGAGACACACUGGUAUUAAGAUUGUACAACAGAUAGCUAUUCUUAUGGGCUGCGCCAUCUUGCCACAUCUUAGAAGUUUAGUUGAAAUCAUUGAACAUGGUCUUGUGGAUGAGCAGCAGAAAGUUCGGACCAUCAGUGCUUUGGCCAUUGCUGCCUUGGCUGAAGCAGCAACUCCUUAUGGUAUCGAAUCUUUUGAUUCUGUGUUAAAGCCUUUAUGGAAGGGUAUCCGCCAACACAGAGGAAAGGGUUUGGCUGCUUUCUUGAAGGCUAUUGGGUAUCUUAUUCCUCUUAUGGAUGCAGAAUAUGCCAACUACUAUACUAGAGAAGUGAUGUUAAUCCUUAUUCGAGAAUUCCAGUCUCCUGAUGAGGAAAUGAAGAAAAUUGUGCUGAAGGUGGUAAAACAGUGUUGUGGGACAGAUGGUGUAGAAGCAAACUACAUUAAAACAGAGAUUCUUCCUCCCUUUUUUAAACACUUCUGGCAGCACAGGAUGGCUUUGGAUAGAAGAAAUUACCGACAGUUAGUUGAUACUACUGUGGAGUUGGCAAACAAAGUAGGUGCAGCAGAAAUUAUAUCCAGGAUUGUGGAUGAUCUGAAAGAUGAAGCUGAACAGUACAGAAAAAUGGUGAUGGAGACAAUUGAGAAAAUUAUGGGCAAUUUGGGAGCAGCAGAUAUUGAUCAUAAACUUGAAGAACAACUGAUUGAUGGUAUUCUUUAUGCUUUCCAAGAACAGACUACAGAGGACUCAGUAAUGUUGAACGGCUUUGGCACAGUGGUUAAUGCUCUUGGCAAACGAGUCAAACCAUACUUGCCUCAGAUCUGUGGUACAGUUUUGUGGCGUUUAAAUAACAAAUCUGCAAAAGUUAGGCAACAGGCAGCUGACUUGAUUUCUCGAACUGCUGUUGUCAUGAAGACUUGUCAAGAGGAAAAAUUGAUGGGACACUUGGGUGUUGUAUUGUAUGAGUAUUUGGGUGAAGAGUACCCUGAAGUAUUGGGCAGCAUUCUUGGAGCACUGAAGGCCAUUGUAAAUGUCAUAGGUGUAAAUACCAUCCAAGUAUGCCCUGCAUUGCAGGGAGACUGGAGAUCUGUUUGUUUUGCAGUUAAAGGGUAUGCAUAAGAUGACUCCACCAAUUAAAGAUCUGCUGCCUAGACUCACCCCCAUCUUAAAGAACAGACAUGAAAAAGUACAAGAGAAUUGUAUUGAUCUUGUUGGUCGUAUUGCUGACAGGGGAGCUGAAUAUGUAUCUGCAAGAGAGUGGAUGAGGAUUUGCUUUGAGCUUUUAGAGCUCUUAAAAGCCCACAAAAAGGCUAUUCGUAGAGCCACAGUCAACACAUUUGGUUAUAUUGCAAAGGCCAUUGGCCCUCAUGAUGUAUUGGCUACACUUCUGAACAACCUCAAAGUUCAAGAAAGGCAGAACAGAGUUUGUACCACUGUAGCAAUAGCUAUUGUUGCAGAAACAUGUUCACCCUUUACAGUACUCCCUGCCUUAAUGAAUGAAUACAGAGUUCCUGAACUGAAUGUUCAAAAUGGAGUGUUAAAAUCGCUUUCCUUCUUGUUUGAAUAUAUUGGUGAAAUGGGAAAAGACUACAUUUAUGCCGUAACACCGUUACUUGAAGAUGCUUUAAUGGAUAGAGACCUUGUACACAGACAGACGGCUAGUGCAGUGGUACAGCACAUGUCACUUGGGGUUUAUGGAUUUGGUUGUGAAGAUUCGCUGAAUCACUUGUUGAACUAUGUAUGGCCCAAUGUGUUUGAGACAUCUCCUCAUGUAAUUCAGGCAGUUAUGGGAGCCCUAGAGGGCCUGAGAGUUGCUAUUGGACCAUGUAGAAUGUUGCAAUAUUGUUUACAGGGUCUGUUUCACCCAGCCCGGAAAGUCAGAGAUGUAUAUUGGAAAAUUUACAACUCCAUCUACAUUGGUUCCCAGGACGCUCUCAUAGCACAUUACCCAAGAAUCUACAACGAUGAUAAGAACACCUAUAUUCGUUAUGAACUUGACUAUAUCUUAUAAUUUUAUUGUUUAUUUUGUGUUUAAUGCACAGCUACUUCACACCUUAAACUUGCUUUGAUUUGGUGAUGUAAACUUUUAAACAUUGCAGAUCAGUGUAGAACUGGUCAUAGAGGAAGAGCUAGAAAUCCAGUAGCAUGAUUUUUAAAUAACCUGUCUUUGUUUUUGAUGUUAAACAGUAAAUGCCAGUAGUGACCAAGAACACAGUGAUUACAUACACUAUACUGGAGGGAUUUCAUUUUUAAUUCAUCUUUAUGAAGAUUUAGAACUCAUUCCUUGUGUUUAAAGGGAAUGUUUAAUUGAGAAAUAAACAUUUGUGUACAAAAUGCUAA